UAUAGUCCUCGCGUCGUCGGUUCCCGCAUGAGGCGGGACGUAAUAGGGAACGCGGUGAGGGAUUUUCCCGAUUCCGUGGCUGCCCCCGCAACUGUAAGCGGCGAGCACCCUCCGCUAGCCACUGGAGCGUUUCGUUCCGGGAAGGCCGAGGGAAGGCGUCGACCCGCGAGCCAGGAGACCUGCCGCCGGCAUCAACCUUGA
rnacentral:ncRNA from 1 species